UACGAAGGUGGCAAGCGUUGUCCGGAAUUAUUGGGCGUAAAGCGAACGCAGGCGGUCCCUUAAGUCUGAUGUGAAAGCACCCGGCUCAACCGGGGAGGGUCAUUGGAAACUGGCAGACUUGAGUGCAGAAGAGGAGAGUGGAAUUCCAUGUGUAGCGGUGAAAUGCGCAGGGAUAUGGAGGAACACCAGUGGCGAAGGCGACUUUCUGGUCUGUAACUGACGCUGAGGCGCGAAAGCGUGGGGAGCAAACAGG
rnacentral:misc_RNA from 1 species